rnacentral:rRNA from 1 species
ACGGGGCGCAGCAGGCGCGAAACCUUUACACUGCACGCCAGUGCGAUAAGGGGACCCCGAGUGCGAGGGCAUACAGUCCUCGCUUUUCGUGACCGUAAGAAGGUCUCAGAAUAAGAGCUGGGCAAGACCGGUGCCAGCCGCCGCGGUAAUACCGGCAGCUCGAGUGAUAGCCACUAUUAUUGGGCCCUAAAGCGUCCGUAGCCGGCCACGAAGGUUCAUCGGGAAAUCCGCCAGCUCAACUGGCGGGCGUCCGGUGAAAACCACGUGGCUUGGGACCGGAAGGCUCGAGGGGUACGUCCGGGGUAGGAGUGAAAUCCCGUAAUCCUGGACGGACCACCGAUGGCGAAAGCACCUCGAGAAGACGGAUCCGACGGUGAGGGACGAAAGCUAGGGUCUCGAACCGGAUUAGAUACCCGGGUAGUCCUAGCUGUAAACGAUGCUCGCUAGGUGUGGCGUUGGCUACGAGCCAGCGCUGUGCCGUAGGGAAGCCGAGAAGCGAGCCGCCUGGGAAGUACGUCCGCAAGGAUGAAACUUAAAGGAAUUGGCGGG